CCACGGCCUUAAGCACCCUUA
rnacentral:piRNA from 1 species